UGGGGAAUAUUGCACAAUGGGCGCAAGCCUGAUGCAGCCAUGCCGCGUGUAUGAAGAAGGCCUUCGGGUUGUAAAGUACUUUCAGCGAGGAGGAAGGCGUUGUGGUUAAUAACCGCAACGAUUGACGUUACUCGCAGAAGAAGCACCGGCUAACUCCGUGCCAGCAGCCGCGGUAAUACGGAGGGUGCAAGCGUUAAGCGGAAUUACUGGGCGUAAAGCGCACGCAGGCGGUCUGUCAAGUCGGAUGUGAAAUCCCCGGGCUCAACCUGGGAACUGCAUCCGAAACUGGCAGGCUAGAGUCUUGUAGAGGGGGGUAGAAUUCCAGGUGUAGCGGUGAAAUGCGUAGAGAUCUGGAGGAAUACCGGUGGCGAAGGCGGCCCCCUGGACAAAGACUGACGCUCAGGUGCGAAAGCGUGGGGAGCAAACA
rnacentral:rRNA from 1 species